UACAGAGGUCUCAAGCGUUGUUCGGAUUCAUUGGGCGUAAAGGGUGCGUAGGCGGCGCGGUAAGUCGGGUGUGAAAUCCCCGGGCUUAACCUGGGAACUGCAUUUGUGACUGCACGGCUAGAGUGUGUCAGAGGGGGGUAGAAUUCCACGUGUAGCAGUGAAAUGCGUAGAUAUGUGGAGGAAUACCGAUGGCGAAGGCAGCCCCCUGGGAUAACACUGACGCUCAUGCACGAAAGCGUGGGGAGCAAACAGG
rnacentral:rRNA from 1 species